CCUACGGAGGCUGCAGUGAGGAAUAUUGGUCAAUGGCCGGAAGGCUGAACCAGCCAUGCCGCGUGAAGGUCAGUGCCCUAUGGGCGUUACACUUCUUUUGUGCGGGAGCAAUAAUGGUCACGUGUGGCCAGACGAGAGUACCGUACGAAUAAGCAUCGGCUAAACCCGUGCCAGCAGCCGCGGUAAUACGGGGAGUGCAAGCGUUAUCCGGAUUUAUUGGGCUUAAAGGGUGCGUAGGCUGUGAGGUAAGUCAGCGGUGAAAUGCCCCCGCUCCACGGGGUGAAGUGCCAUUGAUACUGCCUUGCUGGAAUGCGGAUGCCGUAGGAGGAAUGUGUGGUGUAGCGGUGAAAUGCAUAGAUAUCACACAGAACACCGAUUGCGAAGGCAUCUCACGGAUCCGCGAUUGACGCUGAUGCACGAAAGCGUGGGUAUCAAACAGGAUUAGAUACCCUAGUAGUC
rnacentral:rRNA from 1 species